rnacentral:rRNA from 1 species
AUUGAACGCUGGCGGCAGGCCUAACACAUGCAAGUCGAGCGAGCGGCGGACGGGGGAGUAAUGUCUGGGAAACUGCCCGUUGGAGGGGGGUAACUACUGGAAAAGGUGGCUAAUACCCCAUACCAUCAGAUGUGUCCAGAUGGGAUUAGCUAGUGGGUGGGGUAACGGCUCACCUAGGCGACGAUCCCUAGCUGGGCUGAGAGGAUGACCAGCCACACUGGAACUGAGACACGGUCCAGACUCCUACGGGAGGCAGCAGUGGGGAAUAUUGCACAAUGGGCGCAAGCCUGAUGCAGCCAUGCCGCGUGUGUGAAGAAGGCCUUCGGGUUGUAAAGCACUUUCAGCGGGGAGGCGUUACCCGCAGAAGAAGCACCGGCUAACUCCGUGCCAGCAGCCGCGGUAAUUC